rnacentral:rRNA from 1 species
UACGGAGGGUGCGAGCGUUGUCCGGAAUCACUGGGCGUAAAGGGCGCGUAGGCGGCGCGGGAAGUCAUCGGUGAAAGUUCAGGGCUCAACUCUGAAUCGGCCGGUGAUACUCUCGUGCUCGAGCACUGUAGAGGCAGGUGGAAUUCCGGGUGUAGCGGUGGAAUGCGUAGAGAUCCGGAAGAACACCGGUGGCGAAGGCGGCCUGCUGGGCAGUAGCUGACGCUGAUGCGCGACAGCGUGGGGAGCGAACAGG